UACGUAGGGACCAAGCGUUGUUCGGAUUUACUGGGCGUAAAGGGCGCGUAGGCGGCCUUAACAAGUCACUUGUGAAAUCUCCGGGCUUAACUCGGAACGGCCAAGUGAAACUGUCAAGCUAGAGUGCAGAAGGGGCAAUCGGAAUUCUUGGUGUAGCGGUGAAAUGCGUAGAUAUCAAGAGGAACACCUGAGGUGAAGACGGGUUGCUGGGCUGACACUGACGCUGAGGCGCGAAAGCCAGGGGAGCAAACGGG
rnacentral:rRNA from 1 species